CAGUCGUUUUUUUCUGAUGUUUAUUGUCCAGAGGUUGUCCCAAACACUCAAGAAUAUUCAACACAAAGAAGUCAAGCACCAGCUAACAGUACAGUCAAUAUGAGUGGAGUACCAAAGCAAACAGCUUAUCCCUACCCCGCCCCUGCUCCAGGUUAUUACGAGGGACUUCCAGUGAUGGCACCCCCUAUGUACACUGCUGCUCCCCCUCCUGGUAGCCAACCGGGUUUUCUCGAGGCCUGCCUGGCAACUUUAUGUUGUUGUUGCCUCCUAGACUCUUGCUGCUGGGAUCCGUUCCUCUGCAUCUAGUUUUUUUUUUUUUUCCGUACAACUACUUAAAUGGCAGUACUAGUAUUCACUUAUGAUCUCUCAUCUUUUCUUCUUAUUAUCCACAGGCCGUUGUCCUUUUCUUUUUUUUUUUUUUUGUUGGGGGGGAGUCAGAAAAAAGCAGUUAUGUUACUUAAACAAAAAAAUUAGUAUACAGGGAGUGAUAUAGAUGGUGCAGUUACAUAUAUAGUUGUGAGUUGUGACUAUGCACAAUGAACCGCUGUCCUCAGUGUUGUUCAAAGUGAACAA